rnacentral:rRNA from 1 species
GAUGAACGCUGGCGGCGUGCCUAAUACAUGCAAGUCGAGCGAACGGACGAGAAGCUUGCUUCUCUGAUGUUAGCGGCGGACGGGUGAGUAACACGUGGAUAACCUACCUAUAAGACUGGGAUAACUUCGGGAAACCGGAGCUAAUACCGGAUGAUAUUUUGAACCGCAUGGUUCAAAAGUGAAAGACGGUCUUGCUGUCACUUAUAGAUGGAUCCGCGCUGCAUUAGCUAGUUGGUAAGGUAACGGCUUACCAAGGCAACGAUGCAUAGCCGACCUGAGAGGGUGAUCGGCCACACUGGAACGGGGACACGGUCCAGACUCCUACGGGAGGCAGCAGUAGGGAAUCUUCCGCAAUGGGCGAAAGCCUGACGGAGCAACGCCCCGUGGGUGAUGAAGGUCUUCGGAUCUUAAAACUCUGUUAUUAGGGAAGAACAUAUGUGUAAGUAACUGUGCACAUCUUGACGGUACCUAAUCAGAAAGCCACGGCUAACUACGUG